rnacentral:rRNA from 1 species
AUUGAACGCUGGCGGCAGGCCUAACACAUGCAAGUCGAACGGUAACAGGAAGAAGCUUGCUUCUUUGCUGACGAGUGGCGGACGGGUGAGUAAUGUCUGGGAAACUGCCUGAUGGAGGGGGAUAACUACUGGAAACGGUAGCUAAUACCGCAUAACGUCGCAAGCCCAAAGAGGGGGACCUUCGGGCCUCUUGCCAUCGGAUGUGCCCUGAUGGGAUUAGCUAGUAGGUGGGGUAACGGCUCACCUAGGCGACGAUCCCUAGCUGGUCUGAGAGGAUGACCAGCCACACUGGAACUGAGACACGGUCCAGACUCCUACGGGAGGCAGCAGUGGGGAAUAUUGCACAAUGGGCGCAAGCCUGAUGCAGCCAUGCCGCGUGUAUGAAGAAGGCCUUCGGGUUGUAAAGUACUUUCAGCGGGGAGGAAGGGAGUAGAGUUAAUACCUUUACUCAUUGACGGUACCCGCAGAAGAAGCACCGGCUAACUCCGUG